GACGAACGCUGGCGGCGUGCCUAAUACAUGCAAGUAGAACGCUGUUUGAGGAGCUUGCUUCUCUGGAUUAGUUGCGAACGGGUGAGUAACGCGUAGGUAACCUGCCUGUUAGCGUGGGAUAACUAUUGGAAACGAUAGCUAAUACCGCAUAAUAGCAGUUGCUGCAUGACAACUGUUUGAAAGGUGCAAUUUCACCACUACCAGAUGGACCUGCGUUGUAUUAGCUAGUUGGUGGGGUAACGGCUCACCAAGGCGACGAUACAUAGCCGACCUGAGAGGGUGAUCGGCCACACUGGGACUGAGACACGGCCCAGACUCCUACGGGAGGCAGCAGUAGGGAAUCUUCGGCAAUGGACGGAAGUCUGACCGAGCAACGCCGCGUGAGUGAAGAAGGUUUUCGGAUCGUAAAGCUCUGUUGUAAGAGAAGAACGAGUGUGAGAGUGGAAAGUUCACACUGUGACGGUAUCUUACCAGAAAGGGACGGCUAACUACGUG
rnacentral:rRNA from 1 species